UAGAAGCCUGCGUUGGAUUAGGUAGUUGGUGGGGUAAUGGCCUACCAAGCCGACGAUCCAUAGCUGGUCUGAGAGGAUGAUCAGCCAGACUGGAACUGAGACACGGUCCAGACUCCUACGGGAGGCAGCAGUGAGGAAUCUUCCACAAUGGGCGAAAGCCUGAUGGAGCAACGCCGCGUGAAGGAUGAAGGCCUUCGGGUUGUAAACUUCUUUUAUGAGUGAAGAAUAUGACGGUAACUCAUGAAUAAGCACCGGCUAACUACGUGCCAGCAGCCGCGGUCAUACGUAGGGUGCAAGCAUUAUCCGGAGUGACUGGGCGUAAAGAGUUGCGUAGGCGGUUUAAUAAGUGAAUAGUGAAACCUGGUGGCUCAACCAUACAGACUAUUAUUCAAACUGUUAAACUCGAGAAUGGUAGAGGUAACUGGAAUUUCUAGUGUAGGAGUGAAAUCCGUAGAUAUUAGAAGGAACACCGAUGGCGUAGGCAGGUUACUGGGCCAUUUCUGACGCUAAGGCACGAAAGCGUGGGGAGCGAACCGGAUUAGAUACCCGGGUAGUCCACGCCGUAAACGAUGGAUACUAGCUGUUGGAGGUAUCGACCCCUUCAGUAGCGAAGCUAACGCGUUAAGUAUCCCGCCUGUGGAGUACGGCCGCAAGGCUAAAACAUAAAGGAAUUGACGGGGACCCGCACAAGCGGUGGAUUAUGUUCUUUAAUUCGAUGAUAACCGAAGAACCUUACCAGGGCUUGACAUCCAGGGAAGGUCUGCGAAAGUAGACUGUGCCUUUUGGAACCCUGUGACAGGUGAUGCAUGGCCGUCGUCAGCUCGUGUCGUGAGAUGUUAGGUUAAGUCCUUCAACGAGCGCAACCCUUGUGAAUAGUUGUAUUUUUCUAUUCAGACUGCCCCGGUAACGGGGAGGAAGGAGGGGAUGAUGUCAGGUCAGUAUUUCCCUUACGUCCUGGGCUAGAAACGUAAUACAAUGGCUAGUACAAUGCGCAGCGAAGCCGCGAGGUGAAGCAAAUCGCAUCAAAGCUAGUCCCAGUUCGGAUUGUAGGCUGAAACUCGCCUGCAUGAAGUCGGAAUCGCUAGUAAUCGCAAAUCAGCAAGUUGCGGUGAAUACGUUCCCGGGUCUUGUACACACCGCCCGUCAAACCAUGAAAGUGACCAACACCCGAAGUCCGAUUCGUCGGCCUAAGGUGGGGGGCAUGAUUGGGGUUAAGUCGUAACAAGGUAUCCGUACCGGAAGGUGCGGAUG
rnacentral:rRNA from 1 species